UACGUAGGUGGCAAGCGUUGUCCGGAUUUACUGGGCGUAAAGAGCGCGCAGGCGGUCGUUCAAGUCGCGUGUGAAAGCCCCCGGCUCAACUGGGGAGGGUCACGCGAUACUGAUCGACUCGAAGGCAGGAGAGGGUAGUGGAAUUCCCGGUGUAGUGGUGAAAUGCGUAGAUAUCGGGAGGAACACCAGCGGCGAAGGCGACUUUCUGGCUGCUAACUGACGCUGAGACGCGAAAGCUAGGGGAGCGAACGGG
rnacentral:rRNA from 1 species